GAUGAACGCUAGCUACAGGCUUAACACAUGCAAGUCGAGGGGCAGCAUGGGAUUAGCUUGCUAAUCCUGAUGGCGACCGGCGCACGGGUGCGUAACGCGUAUCCAACCUGCCCUCUACUCCGGAACAGCCCGUCGAAAGGCGGAUUAAUGCCGGAUGGUGUCACAUGCCCGCAUGAGUGUGUGACUAAAGGCAACGGUAGAGGAUGGGGAUGCGACUGAUUAGCUUGUUGGCGGGAUAACGGCCCACCCAGGCAACGAUCAGUAGGGGUUCUGGGGGGAAGGUCCCCCACUUUGGAACUGAGACACGGUCCAAACUGCUACGGGAGGCAGCAGUGAGGAAUAUUGGUCAAUGUGCGAGAGCCUGAACCAGCCAAGUAGCGUGCGGGAAGACGGCCCUAUGGGUUGUAAACCGCUUUUGAUUGGAAACAAAGAGCGCCACGUGUGGUGCGUUGCGUGGACCUGUCGAAGAAGCAUCGGCUAAUUCCGUGCCAGCCCCCGCGGUAACAC
rnacentral:rRNA from 1 species